CCUGAAAGAAAGCAGGGAGAGGACAAGGGAAGAAUCAAGGACACGUCUGCAAUGAAGCCAGCCCACAAAGUUAAUGAAGCAGACUGAAGCUGGUGUGAGGGCAGCAGGGAAGAGCCUGAGGAAAACGGGAGCCAGGGCAGCAGUGCUCGGAAGCUCUUGGGUCUGGAAUUGCAGAGCCUCUUACUACCGGUCGAAGGACAAAACCAGCACGUGGAAAUGUGCAAAGACAGGAGAAUCACAAGAACCUCAAGCCAAAAGCUGGGAACAGAGAUGACACCAAGGCCUACUCUCCCUCUUAAGUUUCCAAUUAUGUGAACAAAAAAAAAAAAUCUCCUCCCACUUUAAGCCAGCCUGAGUUAUUUUUACAGCCCACAGAUCCUACUGGCCCGAUAGCAGACCAUAAAUAAGGACUAUAGUUCUGAGCAU